GCGCAUCUAGUGUAGUGGUAUCAUAGUCCCCUCCAACGGUAUUGACCGGGGAUCGAUUCCCCGGAUGCGCA